rnacentral:rRNA from 1 species
GACGAACGCUGGCGGCGUGCUUAACACAUGCAAGUCGAACGGAAAGGCCCUGCUUUUGUGGGGUGCUCGAGUGGCGAACGGGUGAGUAACACGUGAGUCACCUGCCCUUGACUUUGGGAUAACUUCAGGAAACUGGGGCUAAUACCGGAUAGGCGCUCCUGCUGCAUGGUGGGGGUUGGAAAGUUUCGGCGGUUGGGGAUUGACUCGCGGCUUAUCAGCUUGUUGGUGGGGUAGUGGCUUACCAAGGCUUUGACGGGUAGCCGGCCUGCGAGGGUGACCGGCCACAUUGGGACUGAGGUAGGCCCCAGACUCCUACGGGAGGCAGCAGUGGGGAAUAUUGCACAAUGGGCCGAAGUCUGAUGCAGCAACGCCGCGUGCGGGAUGACGGCUUUCGGGUUGUAAACCGCUUUCGCCUGAGACGAAGCGUGAGUGACGGUAAUGGGUAAAGAAGCACCGGCUAACUACGUG